AUUGAACGCUGGCGUCAGGCUUAACACAUGCAAGUCGAGCGGAGAUGAGGUGCUUGCACCUUAUCUUAGCGGCGGACGGGUGAGUAAUGCUUAGGAAUCUGCCUAUUAGUGGGGGACAACAUUCCGAAAGGAAUGCUAAUACCGCAUACGUCCUACGGGAGAAAGCAGGGGAUCUUCGGACCUUGCGCUAAUAGAUGAGCCUAAGUCGGAUUAGCUAGUUGGUGGGGUAAAGGCCUACCAAGGCGACGAUCUGUAGCGGGUAUGAGAGGAUGAUCCGCCCCACUGGGACGGAGACACGGCCCAGACUCCGACGGGAGGCAGCAGUGGGGAAUAUUGGACAAUGGUGGGAACCCUGAUCCAGCCAUGCCGGGUGUGUGAAGAAGACCUUAUGGUUGUAAAGCACUUUAAGCGAGGAGGAGGCUACUGAGACUAAUACUCUUGGAUAGUGGACGUUACUCGCAGAAUAAGCACCGGCUAACUCUGUGCCAGCCGCCGCAGUAA
rnacentral:rRNA from 1 species